rnacentral:rRNA from 1 species
GACGGAGGGGGCAAGCGUUGUUCGGAAUUAUUGGGCGUAAAGGGCUCGUAGGCGGACCUGUAAGUUUGACGUGAAAUCUCCACCGCUCACCGGGGAGGGGCCGUUGAAUACUGCAGGUCUGGAGUUCGGCAGAGGACCAUGGAAUUCCAGGUGUAGCGGUGGAAUGCGUAGAGAUGUGGAGGAACACCAGUGGCGAAGGCGGCUUUCUGGUCUGUAACUGACGCUGAGGCGCGAAAGCUAGGGGAGCGAACGGG